AGUGAACGCUGGCGGUAGGCCUAACACAUGCAAGUCGAACGGCAGCACAGUUAGAGCUUGCUCUUACGGGUGGCGAGUGGCGGGCGGGUGAGGAAUACAUCGGAAUCUACUUUUUCGUGGGGGAUAACGUAGGGAAACUUACGCUAAUACCGCAUACGACCUACGGGUGAAAGCAGGGGAUCUUCGGACCUUGCGCGAUUGAAUGAGCCGAUGUCGGAUUAGCUAGUUGGCGGGGUAAAGGCCCACCAAGGCGACGAUCCGUAGCUGGUCUGAGAGGAUGAUCAGCCACACUGGAACUGAGACACGGUCCAGACUCCUACGGGAGGCAGCAGUGGGGAAUAUUGGACAAUGGGCGCAAGCCUGAUCCAGCCAUACCGCGUGGGUGAAGAAGGCCUUCGGGUUGUAAAGCCCUUUUGUUGGGAAAGAAAAGCAGCAGGUUAAUACCCCGCUGUUCUGACGGUACCCAAAGAAUAAGUACCGGCUAACUUCGUG
rnacentral:rRNA from 1 species